rnacentral:rRNA from 1 species
UACGUAGGGUGCAAGCGUUGUCCGGAAUUAUUGGGCGUAAAGAGCUCGUAGGCGGUUUGUCGCGUCGACUGUGAAAACCCGAGGCUUAACCUCGGGCCUGCAGUCGAUACGGGCAGACUAGAGUUCGGUAGGGGAGACGGGAAUUCCUGGUGUAGCGGUGAAAUGCGCAGAUAUCAGGAGGAACACCGGUGGCUAAGGCGGGGCUCUGGGCCGAUACUGACGCUGAUGCGCGAAAGCCAGGGGAGCAAACGGG